CCUACGGGAGGCUGCAGUGGGGAAUAUUGGACAAUGGGGGGAACCCUGAUCCAGCCAUGCCGCGUGUGCGAAGAAGGCCCUCGGGUUGUAAAGCACUUUCAGUGAGGAAGAACGCCUGGUGGUUAAUACCCAUCAGGAAAGACAUCACUCACAGAAGAAGCACCGGCUAACUCCGUGCCAGCAGCCGCGGUAAUACGGAGGGUGCGAGCGUUAAUCGGAAUUACUGGGCGUAAAGCGCGCGUAGGUGGCUUGAUAAGCCGGUUGUGAAAGCCCCGGGCUCAACCUGGGAACGGCAUCCGGAACUGUCAAGCUAGAGUGCAGGAGAGGAAGGUAGAAUUCCCGGUGUAGCGGUGAAAUGCGUAGAGAUCGGGAGGAAUACCAGUGGCGAAGGCGGCCUUCUGGACUGACACUGACACUGAGGUGCGAAAGCGUGGGUAGCAAACAGGAUUAGAUACCCCAGUAGUC
rnacentral:rRNA from 1 species